CGUCUGGAAAGGCGCGCGAUACAGGGUGACAGCCCCGUACACAAAAAUGCACAUGCUGUGAGCUCGAUGAGUAGGGCGGGACACGUGGUAUCCUGUCUGAAUAUGGGGGGACCAUCCUCCAAGGCUAAAUACUCCUGACUGACCGAUAGUGAACCAGUACCGUGAGGGAAAGGCGAAAAGAACCCCGGCGAGGGGAGUGAAAAAGAACCUGAAACCGUGUACGUACAAGCAGUGGGAGCACGCUUAGGCGUGUGACUGCGUACCUUUUGUAUAAUGGGUCAGCGACUUAUAUUCUGUAGCAAGGUUAACCGAAUAGGGGAGCCGAAGGGAAACCGAGUCUUAACUGGGCGUUAAGUUGCAGGGUAUAGACCCGAAACCCGGUGAUCUAGCCAUGGGCAGGUUGAAGGUUGGGUAACACUAACUGGAGGACCGAACCGACUAAUGUUGAAAAAUUAGCGGAUGACUUGUGGCUGGGGGUGAAAGGCCAAUCAAACCGGGAGAUAGCUGGUUCUCCCCGAAAGCUAUUUAGGUAGCGCCUCGUGAAUUCAUCUCCGGGGGUAGAGCACUGUUUCGGCAAGGGGGUCAUCCCGACUUACCAACCCGAUGCAAACUGCGAAUACCGGAGAAUGUUAUCACGGGAGACACACGGCGGGUGCUAACGUCCGUCGUGAAGAGGGAAACAACCCAGACCGCCAGCUAAGGUCCCAAAGUCAUGGUUAAGUGGGAAACGAUGUGGGAAGGCCCAGACAGCCAGGAUGUUGGCUUAGAAGCAGCCAUCAUUUAAAGAAAGCGUAAUAGCUCACUGGUCGAGUCGGCCUGCGCGGAAGAUGUAACGGGGCUAAACCAUGCACCGAAGCUGCGGCAGCGACGCUGAUGCGUUGUUGGGUAGGGGAGCGUUCUGUAAGCCUGCGAAGGUGUGCUGUGAGGCAUGCUGGAGGUAUCAGAAGUGCGAAUGCUGACAUAAGUAACGAUAAAGCGGGUGAAAAGCCCGCUCGCCGGAAGACCAAGGGUUCCUGUCCAACGUUAAUCGGGGCAGGGUGAGUCGACCCCUAAGGCGAGGCCGAAAGGCGUAGUCGAUGGGAAACAGGUUAAUAUUCCUGUACUUGGUGUUACUGCGAAGGGGGGACGGAGAAGGCUAUGUUGGCCGGGCGACGGUUGUCCCGGUUUAAGCGUGUAGGCUGGUUUUCCAGGCAAAUCCGGAAAAUCAAGGCUGAGGCGUGAUGACGAGGCACU
rnacentral:rRNA from 1 species